UGGUCCUACGGGAGGCAGCAGUGAGGAAUAUUGGUCAAUGGCCGGAAGGCUGAACCAGCCAAGCCGCGUGAAGGACGAAGGUGCCAAGCAUUGUAAACUUCCUUUGUCAAGGGACAAAAUCAGGCUCGAGAGCCUGACCGAGGGUACUUGAAGAAAAAGCAUCGGCUAACUCCGUGCCAGCAGCCGCGGUAAUACGGAGGAUGCGAGCGUUAUCCGGAUUUAUUGGGCUUAAAGGGUGCGUAGGCGGGCUGUUAAGUCAGCGGUCAAAGCCCGGGGCUCAACCCCGGCCCGCCGUUGAAACUGGG
rnacentral:rRNA from 1 species